rnacentral:rRNA from 1 species
AAUGCGACCUCAGCUCAGGCGGGGCUACCCGCUGAGUUUAAGCAUAUCAAUAAGCGGAGGAAAAGAACUACCA